rnacentral:lncRNA from 1 species
CUUUUGAUUUUCUAAAAUAGUAUUUGAUUAGAGGAAAAAAAAUAUCCUUGAAGAUAAAAAAGUCAAGUUCUCUGAUAGAUUGGAAUUAAGCAUAGAGUAAGACCAAGAUCACACUGACCGCAGGGAGAGUAGGCGAGCAUCAGCCUGGGAGGGAGCAAGAAGAAUCAUGGGGUCAGUAGGGUGGGCAGUAAAGGGGCUGAAUUGAGUGACUCCGCGGAUAGACAAAGUCGGCACCGAGGUUUCUCUACACUGUUUUUCUUAGUGUCGGGAAUUGGAGACAUCUGUAGACCGUCCAAUGUCAUGGCAGCUAGCACUGCGUCAUGCCUGUUUUGCAGAGCCAUGAUAGCUGUUCUGCUUGAGUCUAGUGACAGCCAUCAUUAACAGCCAACUGCACGUUGUUGCUUAUGGAUUGUUCAUCAGAAGUGUCUGUCUGAAUUUUAAGAAUUGCUGAGCAGCAUUCAAAUCACCCUAUAUGGACAUCUCAUUUUGAAUGGCUCAAGAAAUAUAUAAAUCUACAAAACAGAAAAUGCUGUGUUUGGUUUAGAGAGAGGAGUAAAGGAAAGCCACCGGGGUCUGUGGGAAUGAAUUGUGCUGAAAGAUCGGCUGUGUGUAGCCCUCGUUCAAAGAGAGAGAAAGAGAAAGAGAAUCUCUUUUGGAUGAGUCCACUCUUCCACUUGCUUUGAAGACUAAUAUAAAGUAGUUUCUAUGAUACCUGCCCAUAAUUUACAUAAAAAAUAUUAGGCUACGUUGAGGAUUCGUUGCUGAGAUAAACACUAGGGAAGGUGUCUCCCUCUGUGGAUCUUCCAUCCUUGUGCGGACAGCCCACACUGAACCAAUAGUCACUCUGAUAAACAUACAGUUCACACGCUUGUGAGUGCUCAAGAAGAAAGUUCUGUUGUCCUCAGAAAGAGUAUGUUAAAGAGGUAGCUUAGAAUGGGAGGCUCAGGGAAUAGUUUCCCUUAUGCCAAGACCUGAAACAGGCGUAGAGUUAGUUGGGAAUAGGGGCAUGGAGGGGACAAGGGUGGCGCUGGGGAAGGGAGGAGUGUUCCAAGCAGAAGAGAAGGCCUGGGCAAGUUCUCACAGUAGAGAAAAGUAUUGACUCUGAGGCUCUGGAAGAAAGUCAGAGCAUCCAGAGCAAGGAGGUAAAGAGGAAGUGGUGGUGAGUCCUGAACACUUGUCACAGCCAGGCGAUCAAGACCUUGCAUGCCAGGUUAAGGACUUUGGUCUUUAUCCAAAAAGUGGUGUGAAGUUGUGGUGGGUUUUAAACACCAGGAUGACACCAUCAAAUCUGCAUUUUGAAAAUAUCAUUCUGUAUCUUACAAUUUAUGGAAAAUAAAUUGGUGAGAGAGGCCAGAAAGGAUGGAGGGAGAUGAACGGGGAGGCUGGAGAAAGAUUCUUGGUGAGAGAUGAUGAUAGCUUAGCCUAAAGAUGCCAUCAUGAAGACAGACUGAAAGGUACUGAGGGAGUCAAUAAUGGAUGAAAAUGAUCGUGGGGCCAGAAGUGACUUGUAGCUUUAUGACAUAAACAAUCAGACAUAUGGUGACAUCAGUAACUACAGGAAGCAACAUUGGAAGAUAGCUAUGUUCAAGGUGUGGGAGAGAUCUUAAGUUUUGCUAAAACAAAUCAGACCUCUGUGAACAUCUGCAUAAUGUCUCUGGGAUUAUGGGCAAGAGUUUCUGAUGGUUUUAUACCUGGAAUUGGAUUUUGGUGUCAUGACUUCUCCCGGAUAUCGUCAGAUCAUUUUCCAAAGUUAUUUUGUCAAAUUACGUUCCACCAACAUUUGUUCCACAUCCUCACAAACACUGAGUAUUGUCAGACUUUUCAAUAUUUUUCAUCUGUCUUUUUCAGGUGUGACUUGGACCUGGAUCUUCCAUAUAAAUUUCAGAGUUACAAAAACCUAAAACAAAAUGAGCAAAGCAGUUGGUAUACUGAUGAUUGGAAUUGCACGGAUUCUAUGUAUCAGUUUCGGGAAAUCUGACGUACUGACUUUUGCCUGAGCACACUUUCUACAUUUGAAAUUUCAUAAAAGCACUGGAAAUUCUUGAAAAAAUCUGGACUCUUUAUUACAAUGUUUGACAAAUAUGUAUCUUUCUAAUAAUUAAUGUGUUCUGAUGUUCUGUAAUUGUUUUAUCAUUUGUCAGUGUAGUCUAUCACAAAUUAAGUGAUGUAUUAAAGGCUAUCUUUACGGCCUUGUGUUUGUUAAUAAAGGUAUAUAUUUCUAACAAUUCUUGCAUUUUACAUUUGAAACUAUGUUGUGGGGUACCUAAGCUUCCUUAAAUUUACUAUUUAUGUACCCUAUUUGCCUCAUACGAUACUCAUGCCUUGACCUUUGCUUUGGGGCGUGGAGGGCAAGGUGGUCAGCAAGCAGUUAAAGUAACAAUCUGGAAUUCAGGGACAGGGCUGCAGCAGAGAUUAGAAGUGGACGUCAUACACAUGAAAAUGGGAGGUGAAGCUUUGAGAGUGAGUGGAAAUAGGGGAAGAAUAGAAGGGGACAAAGGAAUCAAGGUACAUUAUUUUAGAAACCAGUUUUUAAAGGACUAGCAAGGGAGACUCUCAUCAAGCAAGCAGAGGAGAAGCAGAAUAGGGUUUGGCAGAGAAGGGACGCCCAGAGAGACUCUGUCAAGAAGGUGCAGUUGGCAAGAGCAUCAAAGCCUUCAUCAUGGACAAGGACAGUGACAUCCACUUCCUGCCUGUUUAUUCAAACAUACACACUAGAGUGUAAGAUUGAGGGCAAGAAUAUUUUUAGAUGUUUUCUUCACUGGAGAAUCUCCAGAUCAUAAACAUUGCCUGGCACAGAGUGGAUAGUGAUAAGAUUUGUUGAAUGAAUUAAAAAUAUAAUCUUGUUGAUCAUUAAAAUGAAACAAUUAGCAAAUCCUAUAUGAUUUCAAGAGAGGUGAACUCUGAUAUUCAAAUAUGAUUCUAGAUCCCAUUAUACUAUAUUGUAACUUAUAGGGUUAAGAAAGAUAUGCCACAAAGGAGAGCAGUUCAAAACGCUUGGGUUAUAAAACAGUUUACUUGGGCCUACUGCAUAAAAGUAUCAAAUGUUCACGUUGUAACAUUUUUUUCCUUAAUCUCCCCUAUUUUCAUAGAGAUACACACAUUUAUUAAUAACUCUUAGUUUAUCUGUCCUAAUGGUAAUAGCACAUCAGAAUAAAA